GACGGAGGAUGCAAGCGUUAUCCGGAAUGAUUGGGCGUAAAGCGUCCGCAGGUGGCAGUUCAAGUCUGCUGUCAAAGACCGGGGCUUAACUUCGGAAAGGCAGUGGAAACUGAACAGCUAGAGUAUGGUAGGGGCAGAGGGAAUUCCUGGUGUAGCGGUGAAAUGCGUAGAGAUCAGGAAGAACAUCGGUGGCGAAGGCGGGUCUCUGGGCCGAUACUGACGCUGAGGAGCGGAAGCGUGGGGAGCGAACAGG
rnacentral:rRNA from 1 species